AAGGUGUGAUGUGAAAGCUUUCGUGUCCCUACGUAUAGUAUUUUCUUGCAGGCUGUCUUUGCGGCAAAGACAUGGAAGGACAGAAGCUGGUUACCGUCAUUCUACUCAGCGCUCAUUUAGCCACGUUGGGAUGUAGCUUGAAACUGCCAUCAAUGAGCUACAAUAUCAGAAAGCUGACGUGCCACUAAUCCGCAUUUUAGUAAGGUCCAUCCUUAUACCAGACAUAGAGCCAUGCCUUAGCUCUGCAGUAUGGGCCCUGUUUUUUAGGUACCUCUAUUCCCAUAUGGACAUACAAGACCAGGCAAGGCGGAAAUGUUUUGUGUACAGUGGACGUAAUGAAGUCUAUGAGUCAAACUUCCAUAACGUUUGACCAUCUUUACUACGAAAAGGGCGUAAAAUGGAACGUCACAUUGAUGGGCACAUUUGAUCAACAAAAAAUGAGUCGGAUGAUUGUUCAUCCCAAGGGUGGUGCGUAUAAAAUUAUAGAAGAAAUCGUCUACUACAAUACGAAAUCCCACUGCGCUGUGAUUAGGGUCACGAUGCCUAUUACUGGCGGGCUACGCAUGUACGACCUUAGAGUUUGGAACUCAACCAGGAUACACAGCAAUGUACGCCCCUGUCUUGCAAAAUUCGAAAAACUGGAAACCCGAGGACAUUGUAUUUACGAGAACUUCUGUAAGGGGCUAUUUCAUGAGAGUUCAAAAUCGCCGCAUAUGAUUCAGCAAAAGCCACAACGUCCACUUCAAAAGUUAUAGAAAAUUGGAAGGAAAAUUUUGGUGUUGUCGUUCAGGAACAUAAACUUUGAGUACUGAUGUGUAA